UCUAUGGGGCAGGAUCUAUGGGGCAGGGGGGGAUCUAUGGGGCAGAAUCUAUGGGGCAGGUCAGAUCUAUGGGGCAGGAUCUAUGGGGCAGGAUCUAUGGGGCAGGGGGGGAUCUAUGGGGCAGGAUCUAUGGGGCAGGAUCUAUGGGGCAGGGGACACGGCACCGGGCACACGCGGCCGAGCACGGGCAAUAAAUCACCGGCAGCACAACCGCAGCGUCUGGGGUCCCGUUUUGGGGCAAUUUCACCCGAUUUUGGGGGCGGCCUCAGCUGUUUGGGGCCAAUUCCCUCCCUUUUGGGGCAACUUCUCCCAGUUUUGGGGCCAUUUCUCCCCCUUUUGGGUCACUUUCCCCCCUCCCCAACAUCACCACAUUUUCAGGGUUGAUUUCUCCCAUUUUUGGUCAAUUUCAACCGUUUGGGGCCAUUUCACCUGGUUUUGGGUCUGUUCCCUUCACUUUGGGGCCGAUUUCAGCCAUUUGGGGGCACUUUUCCCUCACUUUUGGGGACAAUUCCCCCCCUUUUGGGGUUCUGGGAGCCAAUUCCCCUUUAUUUCAGCCAAUUCCUCCCCCUUUUGGGUCCAAUUUCCUCUUUUUUGGGGUCUAUUUCACUACUUUCACUUCCCCCUCCCUUUUUGGGUCCCUUUCACUUGAUUUCUGCCAAUUUCUUUUUCUUUUGGGUGAAUUUCACAUUUUUUGGGUCAAAUUUCCCCCAUUUCUGCCAAUUUCUAUCAAUUUUGCUCAUUUUCUUCCAAUUCUCCCCCCCUUUUUGGGUCAAUUUUCCCCAUUUUCAGCCCAUUUCCCCCAUUUUCAGCCAAUUUCCCCCAUUUUCAGCCAAUUUCCUCCAAAUUUUGCCUGUUUCCCCCCUUUUUGGCUCUCCCCUCACCUUUUUGGGGCCGUUUCACCCCAUUUCUUUCAAUUUCUCCCCGCUUUGGGGUCUAUUUUUGUCCCUUUCUUUCGCUUUCACACAAUUUCUUUCAAUUUCACUCCUUUUUUUUUCUCACCUAUUUUGGGGCCAUUUCCUCCCCUUUCUCGCCAUUUCCCCCACCCCCUCAUUUUUUUGCUCAUUUCCCGUAUUUUUGGGGGCUAUUUCUCCCCCUCCCCCCCUUUUGGACCAAUUUCCCCCUUUUUGGGUCAAUUUCCUCCGAUUUCUGCCAAUUCCUCCCCAUCCUCCUCCUUUUUAGGCCAAUUUCGGCCAUUUUCGGUCAAUUUCACUCCCCUUUAGGUCAAUUUCACCCCAUUUUGGGUCCAUCUCCAUUUUGGGUCUAUUUCACUCAAUUUCCGCCAAUUCCACUCAAUUCCUUUCAGUUUCUCCCCUUUUGGGUCAAUUUCUGUCAAUUUCUGCCAAUUUCCUCCAAUUUCUGACCAUUUCUCUCCUUUUUGCCAAUUUCUGUCCAUUUCCUUAAUUUUCACUCAUUUUCUGUCCACUUCUCUCAAUUUUUUGUCCAUUUCAAUCAUUUUCCUUAAAUUUCACUGUUUCUGUCCAUUUUUAUCAAUUUCCUUAACUUUUCACUCAAUUCCUGUCAAUUUCUGACAAUCUCCUUCAUUUUCACUCAAUUUCUGCCAAUUUCUGUCCAUUUCCCUCAUUUCUUUCAUUUUUCACUUCAUUUCUGCCCAUUUUUGUCCAUUUCCCUCAUUUCUUUCAUUUUUCACU
rnacentral:lncRNA from 1 species